CCCACCAACCGUCCCACACCACCCACCCCCGUCUGUCUCAAAAAAAAUCACGCAGCCCGAUCUAGAUCCCCAACCUCCUCUUCUCUCCCAACCCACUCGCCGCCGGCCUCCCUUCCACCUCCUCUCCUCCGUACGUUCGCCCACAUGCCCCCCGCCGCGUGCGCCACGCCGGCGGCCGCGCGCCCCGGCCCGUCCCUCCCCCCGCCAAAUCCGCCGCCCCCGCGCUCCCCCGGCCUGCCCCCCGCGCCGAUCCGCCGGAAUCCGCAGCAAAGGCGGAGCCUUUCCAGCUUUUCAAGGAGAUCUGGGCCGUCCUCGACGAGGGCGGCGGCGGCCCCCCUGGCACGCCCAACGGCGGCGACGCCGCCGUCGCCACCCGCCCCAAGACCAAGGGGAAGGACGGCGGGGGCGCGGCGCCGGCGGGGACGACUCCGAGCAGUCCAAGCUGAGGGCCGUCCUCAACUCCGCCAUCAUCACUGAGAAGCCCAACAUCAAGUGGAACAUCGUCGCCGGGCUCGAGAGCGCCAAGCAGGCGCUGUAGGAGGCCGUCAUGUUGCCCGUCAAGUUCCUCCAGUUCUUCGGGUUCUGGUAGCGACGAUGACGGUCGUCGAGAGGUUCGUGGACUGGACGGUGUCGUGGCUGCCGAUGUACUGAGAAGCGAAGCUGCUGCUCGUUCUCUACCUUUGUCACCCCAGCACACGGAGUGCGGGGAGUGGGGCACGUGUACGAUGGCUUCCUCCGUUCGCUGGUGGCGAGGCACAAGGACGACAUCGACCGGUCCUGUUGGAGCUGAGGGCCAGAGCGAGGGACGUGACUGAGUCGCAACUGAAGGCGGCGGCUGCCGUCAGUCAGGUGUGGCUCUUCGAGGCUAUCCAAUGUGUUUCGUCGCAGCUGCAGGCCGCGAGAUCUGGCCGGGCAGGCGCCUCACACUGACGAGUGGUCCAAUUUUCGUAUCGGGCCAUAACAACUUACGUAGGUAGUUGCUUAUGUAACCGUGCGAUAGAAUGGAAUUAUACAUGAGUUGCUGCUACAAGGAGGAACGUAGUUGCUUAUGUAAUUGCUUAUGUAACUGUGCGAUAGAAUGAAAUUAUACAUGAGUUGCUGCUACAAUGAGGAACUAGAGAAGAUACGACAACUGUGUGAUAGAAUGAAUUUGGUUGUUUUUUUUUAA